AUUGAACGUUGGCGGCAUGCCUUACACAUGCAAGUCGAACGGUAACAGGGAGCUUGCUCCGCUGACGAGUGGCGAACGGGUGAGUAAUGUAUCGGAACGUACCUUUUAGUGGGGGAUAACGUAGCGAAAGUUACGCUAAUACCGCAUAUUCUCUGAGGAGGAAAGCAGGGGACCUUCGGGCCUUGCGCUAAUAGAGCGGCUGAUAUCAGAUUAGCUAGUUGGUGAGGUAAAGGCUCACCAAGGCGACGAUCUGUAGCGGGUCUGAGAGGAUGAUCCGCCACACUGGAACUGAGACACGGUCCAGACUCCUACGGGAGGCAGCAGUGGGGAAUUUUGGACAAUGGGGGCAACCCUGAUCCAGCCAUGCCGCGUGAGUGAAGAAGGCCUUCGGGUUGUAAAGCUCUUUCGGCCGGGAAAAAAUCGCAUGGGCUAAUACCCUGUGUGGAUGAUGGUACCGGAAUAAGAAGCACCGGCUAACUACGUGCCAGCCGCCGCAGUAACAC
rnacentral:rRNA from 1 species